AUGGCCUAACUACUUGAUUCUCGAUGGCUAACGGCUCAAGCAAAGCUAUAAGCUAGAAAUUGUACAAAAUAUGAAAGAAAUGAAGAUGGAAUAUUAUUAGGGCAUGAUUUCAGGAGUGCAGUUUUGAUGCAGAACAAUGCAAGUAAUGAAAACAAUUAAUAAACAGCCGAGCCGGUCUUUUUUGUAUGUAGCCUCUCCCCAGGCGCGGCGCUCUCUCAGGUUAGGGUUCUUCAGGCGGCUUCAAAUUAGCAGAACCAAAAAAUGGUAAUUAAUUAAUUAGAUUCUAUCCUCUGUAGCAUAGUUUAGCAUCUGAUUCUUUCUUGUUUUUUCCUCAUCACAUCAGAAAAAUACAUCCAAAUUAUUAAAUUC